rnacentral:rRNA from 1 species
AUUGAACGCUGGCGGCAUGCCUUACACAUGCAAGUCGAACGGCAGCACGGGUGCUUGCCCCUGGUGGCGAGUGGCGAACGGGUGAGUAAUACAUCGGAACAUGUUCUGUAGUGGGGGAUAGCCCGGCGAAAGCCGGAUUAAUACCGCAUACGAUCUACGGAUGAAAGCGGGGGACCUUCGGGCCUCGCGCUAUAGGGUUGGCCGAUGGCUGAUUAGCUAGUUGGUGGGGUAAAGGCCUACCAAGGCGACGAUCAGCAGCUGGUCUGAGAGGACGACCAGCCACACUGGGACUGAGACACGGCCCAGACUCCUACGGGAGGCAGCAGUGGGGAAUUUUGGACAAUGGGCGAAAGCCUGAUCCAGCAAUGCCGCGUGUGUGAAGAAGGCCUUCGGGUUGUAAAGCACUUUUGUCCGGAAAGAAAUCCUUGGCCCUAAUACGGUCGGGGGAUGACGGUACCGGAAGAAUAAGCACCGGCUAACUACGUG